rnacentral:rRNA from 1 species
GAACUCUCGUUAAGGAACUCGGCAAAAUGACCCCGUAACUUCGGGAGAAGGGGUGCUCUUUAGGGUUAACGCCCAGAAGAGCCGCAGUGAAUAGGCCCAAGCGACUGUUUAUCAAAAACACAGGUCUCUGCUAAACCGUAAGGUGAUGUAUAGGGGCUGACGCCUGCCCGGUGCUGGAAGGUUAAGAGGAGUGGUUAGCUUCUGCGAAGCUACGAAUCGAAGCCCCAGUAAACGGCGGCCGUAACUAUAACGGUCCUAAGGUAGCGAAAUUCCUUGUCGGGUAAGUUCCGACCCGCACGAAAGGCGUAACGAUUUGGGCACUGUCUCAACGAGAGACUCGGUGAAAUCAUAGUACCUGUGAAGAUGCAGGUUACCCGCGACAGGACGGAAAGACCCCGUGGAGCUUUACUGUAGCCUGAUAUUGAAAUUCGGCACAGCUUGUACAGGAUAGGUAGGAGCCUUUGAAACGUGAGCGCUAGCUUACGUGGAGGCGCUGGUGGGAUACUACCCUAGCUGUGUUGGCUUUCUAACCCGCACCACUUAUCGUGGUGGGAGACAGUGUCAGGCGGGCAGUUUGACUGGGGCGGUCGCCUCCUAAAAGGUAACGGAGGCGCUCAAAGGUUCCCUCAGAAUGGUUGGAAAUCAUUCAUAGAGUGUAAAGGCAUAAGGGAGCUUGACUGCGAGACCUACAAGUCGAGCAGGGUCGAAAGACGGACUUAGUGAUCCGGUGGUUCCGCAUGGAAGGGCCAUCGCUCAACGGAUAAAAGCUACCCCGGGGAUAACAGGCUUAUCUCCCCCAAGAGUUCACAUCGACGGGGAGGUUUGGCACCUCGAUGUCGGCUCAUCGCAUCCUGGGGCUGUAGUCGGUCCCAAGGGUUGGGCUGUUCGCCCAUUAAAGCGGUACGCGAGCUGGGUUCAGAACGUCGU